UACGGAGGGGGCUAGCGUUGUUCGGAAUUACUGGGCGUAAAGCGCACGUAGGCGGCUUUGUAAGUUAGAGGUGAAAGCCCGGGGCUCAACUCCGGAACUGCCUUUAAGACUGCAUCGCUAGAACGUCGGAGAGGUGAGUGGAAUUCCGAGUGUAGAGGUGAAAUUCGUAGAUAUUCGGAAGAACACCAGUGGCGAAGGCGGCUCACUGGACGACUGUUGACGCUGAGGUGCGAAAGCGUGGGGAGCAAACAGG
rnacentral:rRNA from 1 species